rnacentral:SRP_RNA from 1 species
GCCGGGUGCGGUGGCUCACGCCUGUAAUCCCAGCACUUUGGGAGGCUGAGGUGGGUGGAUCACCUGAGGUCAGGAGUUCGAGACCAGCCUGACCAACAUGGUGAAACCCCGUCUCUA